ensembl:lncRNA
UGCCUCGUCACGUAUCUUUAGAUUUGUUUUUUUAUUCAGCCUAGAACAGACUAACACAGCAAAUGUUUCCCAUUUUGCUGUUACAGUUAAUCCUGAAUUAACUCCUCCUCCCUCUCCUGUGUUUGAAGAGGGAGGGGGAACAGAAAUCUUUGAGGAUACAAAAGAAGCCAUGCAUCCACGCCAGGUUUCAUGGCUGUGCUCUACAAACAGAGUGUGAGAUGGGAAGAAUAUUAUACUGUCUUUCCACUGAUUUCUUUUCAAACAUCCCAGGUUGCAUCUUUUUUGGCUUCAGAUUUAUUGGUAAUCUCAAGGCAUUUGCAGUAUUUUAGAGAGAAGAUCAAUAAUUCCUCUACAUGCAAGCACCUUGUGACAGUGGGGAGGAAACCCAGUGAUGAUGGUUCUCUGCUUCAGCAGGUUAAGGUAGUGAGGAGUAGAAAUGGGUAGAGAGGAGAGCAAAGGGAAAGCUGUGCAUUUAAGGUAGCCACACUAUUGGAUGAGCAUCUCUGACAGUGCUGUGUUGCUGUUGUUCCGACAUCAUAAAUGAUGUCGUUCUGGAAACAAGGUUAUUAGAGUUCACUUAGACUAAAUGAAAAACAAAUGCAACAUUGUUCAAAGCUUCUUCAGACUGACAUAUACCACCCUGGUCAUUCUACCUAUAACAAACACAUUUUUAGCAAGUGAAUCAAAUAGAUAAAAAUCAAAUGCAAUUUAAAAAAAAGAAGAAAAAAAAAGGCAAACCCACACUAAAUGACACUAAAGUAAAAUGAAAACAGCAGAUUUCCAGGAAGAGCACAGCAACUGACCAAUCAUGCUUUCAUGAUGUAAUCACUUUGAGACUAAGUUUUCCUACAUGGCCCUGGAGUAAGAUCAGACUGCAGCACACAGUUAAUGACUAUAUUUUCGUCAUGGUUGUUAUUAACAAUAUUACAUUUUACCACUUCUGUCAGAAUAUGCUGCUGUUCUUUUAAGCUGAAUACAAACGCCUGUGCUUUUGAGCACUAUCAUGUUCAGUGGGGUUUGAAAGCGUGCGACCAACAUGGCACUAAAGCUACACUACAAUUAUCAGGAGACAAGGGAGCAAAAACUAACAUAACAAAUACAAAGCAAAACUUUUUGCUACAAAAAUAGUAUGUUACGCCUUCCCAACUGAUUCAACUAAAGACAUUGAAACAAAUGAUGUGUUUUUGCAACAGGAUGUUAGUAACAAAGUGCCUAAAGAUUAAAUUUAAAAUUAGUUCUUCGCUAAGUUGUGUGUUCUGUCAAGAAAACAUUGGUUCAUCUCUUGAUGCUAGAAUGAGUCAUAGGUCAGUCAUAGGUUAAAUCAGUGUGUUUUUCUGAAACAACAGAGCAUAGUAAAGCAUCCCAAAAAAU